GUGCUCACUUUGGCAGCACAUAUAACUAAACUUGGAACCAUACAGAGAAGAUUAGCGUGGCCCCU
ensembl:snRNA U6 U6 spliceosomal RNA